rnacentral:rRNA from 1 species
UACGGAGGGAGCUAGCGUUGUUCGGAAUUACUGGGCGUAAAGCGCACGUAGGCGGCUUUGUAAGUUAGAGGUGAAAGCCCGGGGCUCAACCCCGGAAUUGCCUUUAAGACUGCAUCGCUUGAAUCCAGGAGAGGUGAGUGGAAUUCCGAGUGUAGAGGUGAAAUUCGUAGAUAUUCGGAAGAACACCAGUGGGCGAAGGCGGCUCACUGGACUGGUAUUGGCGCGUGA